UCCUGACUGACCGAUAGUGAACCAGUACCGUGAGGGAAAGGCGAAAAGAACCCCGGCGAGGGGAGUGAAAAAGAACCUGAAACCGUGUACGUACAAGCAGUGGGAGCACGCUUAGGCGUGUGACUGCGUACCUUUUGUAUAAUGGGUCAGCGACUUAUAUUCUGUAGCAAGGUUAACCGAAUAGGGGAGCCGAAGGGAAACCGAGUCUUAACUGGGCGUUAAGUUGCAGGGUAUAGACCCGAAACCCGGUGAUCUAGCCAUGGGCAGGUUGAAGGUUGGGUAACACUAACUGGAGGACCGAACCGACUAAUGUUGAAAAAUUAGCGGAUGACUUGUGGCUGGGGGUGAAAGGCCAAUCAAACCGGGAGAUAGCUGGUUCUCCCCGAAAGCUAUUUAGGUAGCGCCUCGUGAAUUCAUCUCCGGGGGUAGAGCACUGUUUCGGCAAGGGGGUCAUCCCGACUUACCAACCCGAUGCAAACUGCGAAUACCGGAGAAUGUUAUCACGGGAGACACACGGCGGGUGCUAACGUCCGUCGUGAAGAGGGAAACAACCCAGACCGCCAGCUAAGGUCCCAAAGUCAUGGUUAAGUGGGAAACGAUGUGGGAAGGCCCAGACAGCCAGGAUGUUGGCUUAGAAGCAGCCAUCAUUUAAAGAAAGCGUAAUAGCUCACUGGUCGAGUCGGCCUGCGCGGAAGAUGUAACGGGGCUAAACCAUGCACCGAAGCUGCGGCAGCGAUGCUUAUGCGUUGUUGGGUAGGGGAGCGUUCUGUAAGCCUGCGAAGGUGUGCUGUGAGGCAUGCUGGAGGUAUCAGAAGUGCGAAUGCUGACAUAAGUAACGAUAAAGCGGGUGAAAAGCCCGCUCGCCGGAAGACCAAGGGUUCCUGUCCAACGUUAAUCGGGGCAGGGUGAGUCGACCCCUAAGGCGAGGCCGAAAGGCGUAGUCGAUGGGAAACAGGUUAAUAUUCCUGUACUUGGUGUUACUGCGAAGGGGGGACGGAGAAGGCUAUGUUGGCCGGGCGACGGUUGUCCCGGUUUAAGCGUGUAGGCUGGUUUUCCAGGCAAAUCCGGAAAAUCAAGGCUGAGGCGUGAUGACGAGGCACUACGGUGCUGAAGCAACAAAUGCCCUGCUUCCAGGAAAAGCCUCUAAGCAUCAGGUAACAUCAAAUCGUACCCCAAACCGACACAGGUGGUCAGGUAGAGAAUACCAAGGCGCUUGAGAGAACUCGGGUGAAGGAACUAGGCAAAAUGGUGCCGUAACUUCGGGAGAAGGCACGCUGAUAUGUAGGUGAAGUCCCUUGCGGAUGGAGCUGAAAUCAGUCGAAGAUACCAGCUGGCUGCAACUGUUUAUUAAAAACACAGCACUGUGCAAACACGAAAGUGGACGUAUACGGUGUGACGCCUGCCCGGUGCCGGAAGGUUAAUUGAUGGGGUCAGCGCAAGCGAAGCUCUUGAUCGAAGCCCCGGUAAACGGCGGCCGUAACUAUAACGGUCCUAAGGUAGCGAAAUUCCUUGUCGGGUAAGUUCCGACCUGCACGAAUGGCGUAAUGAUGGCCAGGCUGUCUCCACCCGAGACUCAGUGAAAUUGAACUCGCUGUGAAGAUGCAGUGUACCCGCGGCAAGACGGAAAGACCCCGUGAACCUUUACUAUAGCUUGACACUGAACAUUGAGCCUUGAUGUGUAGGAUAGGUGGGAGGCUUUGAAGUGUGGACGCCAGUCUGCAUGGAGCCGGCCUUGAAAUACCACCCUUUAAUGUUUGAUGUUCUAACGUGGACCCGUGAUCCGGGUUGCGGACAGUGUCUGGUGGGUAGUUUGACUGGGGCGGUCUCCUCCUAAAGAGUAACGGAGGAGCACGAAGGUUGGCUAAUCCUGGUCGGACAUCAGGAGGUUAGUGCAAUGGCAUAAGCCAGCUUGACUGCGAGCGUGACGGCGCGAGCAGGUGCGAAAGCAGGUCAUAGUGAUCCGGUGGUUCUGAAUGGAAGGGCCAUCGCUCA
rnacentral:rRNA from 1 species